rnacentral:lncRNA from 1 species
AAUUAUAUAAUACAUCUAAAUACAUAAAUUAUAUUAAUUAAAAAAAAGUAUGAAUACAUUCAUGUCAUGUAGCGAAAUAGUGAGUACGAUGAAAUAUACAGAAUGCAACAGGAUACAUUGAAAUACAAUGAAAGAAAAAGACAGAGAAUACAAUAAAAUACAUAUAAUAUAGCGAGAUACAUUAAAUUACAAUGCAAAGAAAGACAAUGAAUACAAUGAAAAUAUUAAAAUACAGCUUAAUACGUUGAAAUUAUAUUAAAAUAUGUUAAAAAAAGAUGUUCUUCUUCAUCGCGAAAAAAGAAAUCGUCACUUAGAGGAUCUCCGAAACCGAAUCCUUUUUCAACGACCGCCGCCAUCUCCUCGUUGGAUUUGAAAUAAUGCGCAAUAUUCUUGAAGUUGAUGAAAAUCUUGAAAAUUUUAGUACUACUCAAAUAAUUAGAAUCUUGAACUUUUUGUUUGCACCAUAACUUUUGUUUUUGUUGAACUUCUUGUUUGCACUAUAAUCUUGAACUUCUUGUUUGCACCAUAGUACUAUUCAAAAUUCUGAGUACUAUUCAAAUGAUCGGAAUCUUGAAUUUCAUAAGCCGCCGCCAAUUCCUCUAUUGCGCUUCAAUUCCAGAAGACAAAGCAAAAAGAAUGAAUAAAUUUGAUUAGCAUAUAAAGGGAGGGGAAAGUGGGAAGGGAUAAAAAGAAAAUUGGUGAAAGGAGGAGGAGAUCGAAAAUUUUAAUGGGAUGUAUCAAAG